rnacentral:rRNA from 1 species
UACAGAGGUGGCAAGCGUUGUUCGGAAUUACUGGGCGUAAAGGGCGAGUAGGUGGCCAUCUAAGUCAGGGGUGAAAUCCUGGAGCUCAACUCCAGAACUGCCUUUGAUACUGGAGAGCUUGAGUCCGGGAGAGGUGAGUGGAACUCCGAGUGUAGAGGUGAAAUUCGUAGAUAUUCGGAAGAACACCAGUGGCGAAGGCGGCUCACUGGCCCGGUACUGACGCUGAUGUGCGAAAGCGUGGGGAGCAAACAGG